rnacentral:rRNA from 1 species
AACGAACGCUGGCGGCAGGCCUAACACAUGCAAGUCGAACGAACCUUUAUGGUGAGUGGCGCACGGGUGCGUAACACGUGGGAAUCUACAUCUCGGUAAGGAAUAACUCAGAGAAAUUUGGGCUAAUACCUUAUAAUGACUCCGGUCCAAAGAUUUAUCGCCGAGGGAUGAGCCCGCGCUAGAUUAGUUUGUUGGUGAGGUAAAAGCUCACCAAGACUACGAUCUAUAGCUGGUCUGAGAGGAUGAUCAGCCACACUGGAACUGAGACACGGUCCAGACUCCUACGGGAGGCAGCAGUGAGGAAUAUUGGACAAUGGGGGCAACCCUGAUCCAGCCAUGCCGCGUGAGUGACGAAGGCCCUAGGGUUGUAAAGCUCUUUCAGAUGCGAAGAUAAUGACGGUAACAUCAGAAGAAGCUCCGGCUAAAUUCGUG